rnacentral:rRNA from 1 species
AGCCUGAACGCUGGCGGCGUGGCUAAGACAUGCAAGUCGCACGGAGGUAGCAAUACUUUAGUGGCGAACGGGUGAGUAAUGUAUCGCUAACGUACCCUUUAGUCAGGGAUAGCCGGGGGAAACUCCGGGUAAUACCCGUUGACAUUCUUUUUCCGCAUGGAGAGAGACUCAAAGGAGCAAUCCGCUGAAGGAGCGGGCGAUAUCGUAUCAGCUAGUUGGUGAGGUAACGGCUCACCAAGGCGACGACGCGUAGCCGGACUGAGAGGUCGGUCGGCCACAUUGGGACUGAGACACUGCCCAGACUCCUACGGGGGCUGCAGUAACGAAUCUUCCGCAAUGCACGCAAGUGUGACGGAGCGACGCCGCGUGUGGGACGAAGUCCUUCGGGAUGUAAACCACUGUCAGGGGUUACCAAGUUCUGAGGAGCCCCAGAGGAAGGCACGGCUAACUCUGUGCCAGCAGCCGCGGUAA